UACUUGCUUCUUAAAUAAACGAGUAAAUAUGACUGUACGAUUAUGUGUACACAUGUAUAUUAGUUAGUGCCCCUCAUUUGCACAGGUUGGAUUACAGACUGCGCCCCGUCAUCAUAUAUUUAUUUGAUUGAUACAUUUUGAGUGUUUGAUCAAAAAUAGAUAGUGGAAAGCAAGGAAACGUAUAUGAAAAUCGUCUCGAUGAAAAUUCGAGAUAUGAUGUCUGUGGAUUAUACUGCUCAACGGUUAAUAGCAAACAGCCUAGAUUUAAACUCUCUAAACAAAAAACAAAAAAAAUUUGUCAAUUUCAACACUUGUUUAAAAACUUUUGAAAACUGUCCAAAACAAAAAUUGGAAUAAAAAAUAUCUAUGCUUUGUGAUUCUGAGUUUUAUACAUAGGUAAUGGACAAAAAUGUUAUUGCUGUGGUCUACGCUUGAAAGAUUGUUGUGAUGACGAAGACGAUCCAUGGGUAAAAAACAUAGGGUCUCCUAACUGUAUACAUAUUUUGUAAUGUAAGUGACAGUAGUUAUUU